rnacentral:misc_RNA from 1 species
AAAAGAACCAGCAAAACAAAUGCAGUCUAUCCAAAAUCCAAGAAUUCGGAAAAGACAAUUUACAAUUAUAGCUCAUGUGCUCUGCAUCCCACAUGCACAACAAUCCUUCUUUAACCAUAUCUUCCACAUCAGUACAUGUCACAUAAUGGCACUACUGACUAUGCUAAUCAGUAAUCCAAUCACUAAUUAUUGGCCUGAAAUCUACGCUGCACUUCAAAACAAUACAAAUUUUUAUGUUGAAACAAUUGGAUUGAGAUAGCCACCCAUAAGUAAAGACACCAAAACCUGGAACAAAUGAGAAUUCUAAGCUCAUGUCUGGCUACCCAAAAAACUUUAACCAACUUACUAUAUUGAAAAGACUUUCAGUUUAUUAGAAAAGCCACAAAGACAAGAAUAUCAAAAUUACAUAGAGACCACCCACACUACCUCUCUUCCGUGCAAUAAAUAAUAAGGCAUAUAG